UCCCUGGUGGAGUAGUGGUUAGGCCACAGCGGUGAGGCGCUGUGGCCCGGCUUCGAUUCCCAGCCAGGGAA